UACGGAGGGUGCAAGCGUUAUCCGGAUUCACUGGGUUUAAAGGGUGCGUAGGUGGGCAGGUAAGUCAGUGGUGAAAUCUCCGGGCUUAACCCGGAAACUGCCAUUGAUACUAUCUGUCUUGAAUACCGUGGAGGUGAGGCGGAAUAUGUCAUGUAGCGGUGAAAUGCUUAGAUAUGACAUAGAACACCAAUUGCGAAGGCAGCUCACUACGCGAAUAUUGACACUGAGGCACGAAAGCGUGGGGAUCAAACAG
rnacentral:rRNA from 1 species